AAAGGACAUGCUUUAUCUUAUACGGCAGAGUCAUGUGGUCACGGAGAAUCCUGAGGAAAACCCAGCUGCCCAUGAGAAGCGCGUCUGUCCAGCGUCUGGGGGAGGGGCAUGUCGUCCUCAGGAAGGCCAUGCAGGGCGCCCACCCCGAGCUCUCCAGGGACGGCCCCUGCGUGCGGCCUCGUGACCUUGUGACCUGGGUCUGGCUCUCAGGAGCACCAGGCAGGCAGGGAGGGCACACCCCGGAGGAGCCCUGCCUGUGGCUGCGUUGCCAUUAGAAUUUCAAUGAGGGACACUCAGUUUGAUGGACGACUCCUGCGGCCCUGGAGGCUUGAGGCCCCACCUGCUCCGUCUGCUCGGGAGACACAACGUCUUGACUCGGCCUCUGUCCCUUUGUCCUCCCUGACAGGCCUGCCAGCCCUGCGCUGUGGCUCUGCCCUGCAGGCCGGGGGGCCAGGUAGACACCCCUCAGGAAGAAAAGCCUCUGCCUGGAGCCGCCAGCCUGUGCUGGGGGGGCUUGGAGACCCCAGGGUGUGGGCUUCGGAGCUGCAGAUGGCCCAGGCGCUGACCCAAAUUCAGUGUUCUCGGGGGUGGGUCUGUGUGUCCCUCCACUGGGCCUCUGGACUGGAACCUUCCGGGGACUCGAGCUUUCCCCUAAGAUGUCUCGGCCGACCCAGCCCCUCCUAUGCAGUGGCCAGUCUGGGGCCCGGUGGGUAGAUUUGCUCCUGCACCAUCUCAGGGCUGGUGCCCUGCGGAGGGAGAGGCGCUGUCGGUCAAGCCUCGCUCGCUCCUGGCGAGGGCUCUGGUUUUCCAGCCACGCCGCUGCAUGAAGAGCAAUGCACACAGACAGGGUCUCAGAUGCCACCUGCGCCCACCCUGGUCCUGCCGGAUAACUCCUCCCUUCCCUCUUCUCAGGCCGUCAAAGCCCCUUACAGAGGGAACGAUGGUCCUGGGGGACACAGCCCCUUUCCCCGGCUGUUCCCAGAGCACAGCUGGCUUCAGCCUGCAUGCAGCCACGUCUUACGGGUCUAGCCCGAGUCCGUCCACUUCUGAGGGUCCUGCUGCCCUCCCCCACCUGCCCCCACGCUCUGCAGAGCCCUGCAGAAUGAGAGGGUCCUGGACCCGGCUCCUCUGCCUGGGAGAAUCUGACUGCUCCAGGUGCAGUCGCAGCCACAGGAGAGGCCCUGGCGCCCUGACCCCCGGCAGGCAGCGAGGCUGAUCUGGGAGGGCGAGACCGCUCCGCCCUGGCUCUGACAACCCUCCCUGUGCUGCUGCCCAACCCUCUCCCCAUGCCUCCUCCGCUUUCCCCGGGGUUGGCACCUGGGAGCCGUGCUCUGGGAUCACACUCCUCUUUGGCUCUGGGAAUUUCUCCUCCCACGUGGAGGCCCCCACAGCAGUGGACACCACCCAGCCAGGCCCACCUGACCAGUCAGGCUCAAACCCUCUGAUACCCGCCCCACCCAUAGGACCAGGUGUAAACCAGGCAGCGACACCCCAGACGUGUGGCCUUGGUCAGCUCCCCUGGGCUCCUCUCCCUCCAGCCGGCCCUUCUCUGCCCAGGAAACAGUUUUCUGAAGAGUUGUCCAUUCUCGAGCCUUCCAGCUGCGUGGGAGAGAGUUGACCCCAAGGCUGCGGCCAUAAGAGGCCAGGGAGGGUGGGGCCUGGGAUCUGCUGCUCACGGGCUGUGUGACUGUGGGCACGAGACUUCGUUUCCUGAUUCAUAAAGGUGGGGACCGAUCAAAGCUACUCCUUCGACCUUUGUGAGGAUUAAAUGAGUUCAACACGGAACACUCCUGACCCACGGGCCAUCCCCAGAUGAGGCUGCAGCAUUGCCCCGUCCGCUCUCAGCUGGUGCCAGUGUUGUCUGGAACUGUCUGGACCUACCUGGAAACUGAGUGUUUGUCGGAAGCUCCACAUGGCAUCCCUGUCUGACACAGACCCAUUGUCACCAUCUGAUUUGCUGAGACACGUGUGCAGAGGUGCCUGAUGGCAGCCUGGACCUGCUGCUGAGCCUUCUGCUGCUGUAGGCCCCUUCAAAACUGACAGCCUCGGAGGCUUCCGUAUGGUCAAAGCAGCCUGCUUCAAUGUGGUGCAUGAGAUCUCUGAGGUCUAAAAAGGCCUACCAAGCAGCAUCGUGCCACCUUCUUAGCGCAAAGAACAGGAAC